GUUCAUUCUGCAUCCUCGGCUAGUUAUUAACUUCACAGCUCUGUAUGGGCCUAAUCCCACCCUACACUGGUAAGUAUAGAUCUUGUAGAAGUGACAGAUCACUUUCCAGGCAUCCAAUGCACUGACUAAUGUCACUUCAUAUGGCGAACGUCUGUCCUUCCCCCUUGCUAUGGCUCCUCUGUCUUUACAAUUGUUUGACAAUUACAUUCCAAAAAUGAAAUAUUUCAGGAUUAAGCUAUAAUAAAGUGUGUUACUUCUCUAGUGGAUCUUCUCAAAGUUACAUUGUAACAGCUAAAUAAUUCCAACAGCAAUAAAACUGUCUUUUUCCUAGGACUAUCUGGGAGAUGUCUAAAAUUCCCCCAAAAAGUCACCAGCCUUUUGUAUUGUUGGACACCCACAACCCCCACCUGGCUGUCCUACUGUUUAUUUCUAUAGAUUUCAAUUUCUAUAAACACUCUUGCAACAGCAUUACAAUCUUUAUGAGGCCGAUCUGUGCUGAAUGCUGCCAUUAAAGUUGGUCUUUGCUGGUCUUAAGGAAAAAUCCUGUGCAGCUAUUGACACAGGAAACCCAAGGAUUUGUAGACUUGACAGAUUAAAUCAUCAGAAGGCAAGGGAGGUCUGAGAGGGAAAACUGCACAGGAAAAUGGCUUUCAUGAACCCGUCUGUGUUUUUACACUACAGCACAGCAAAAUAUUCAUUUUGUUUAGGGCUACCCAGUGGUAUGUGGUGUAUUUGCAUUAUACAUGUUGUAUAAAUGUAAUAAAAGUAGUGAAUAGUAAAAAAAAAUAAUAAUAAUAAUUAAAAAAAUUUACAAAAAUUUAAAUAAACAAAAACAAAAACCCCAAAACAAUUACUCCUAGCAUUUUCUUCCUGAUAGUUUGCUUUUUAUACUGUAGAAAUAAUUCAGUUCUGGAAUAUUAUUAUAUCUUAUUAUUAUAACAACGAUUUGAUUUAUUUUCUAAACCAGUAACUGCAUAACAUAGCAACGACAUUUCAGACCAAAUAGUUAUAAAAUUAGUUAAGUUGAAAUAAAGUUCCAAAUUUGGAUAUUUCUGUCUUAUGUGCAAUAAAUGUGGAAAUUCCUUGUUAAUUCUCCAUUUUCGGAUUUAAGUGAAUAAAUCCAUGUGUUGCCCUUGUUGUAAAGAUAACCGACUUUGUGUUUGAACUACAUUCUCCAUGAUGUCAAGUCAGUCUCUAGAAAAUGUAGUUCAAAUAUCUGCAACGCCAAGUUUGCCCAUCACUGCCUUGUAGUCUGGCUACUUGUGGGACAUAGGACUUCUCUUUUUUUUUUUGUCUGGUUGUGAGUGAACAGUUUACAUAAAAGGCAGUUGUCAGGUUGCAAUCAGGAAAUAAAAAAUGAGGUGUCUUAGUGCAAGGGGAUCUGUGCCAUUAGACAAACAUAUCUGCAGAAUAUCCAGCAGUGGAACACACAUACAGGUAACCUUGUGGGAAGUUCAAGUCUCUAACAGCUGUCAGGAAAAUGUGAUAAGCCAUCCAUAAGCCGCUUACACACACGCCUGCCUGGACUUCCUUACAGAUAGACUGCUAGCAGAACGUGCACAGCGUUCCAUGACUGUGGCAAACAUUCUAAUUGUUAGUCAAUGACAGUGACAAACAUUCUAAUUGUCAUUCACUGACAGUGGCACACGUGAACUGUUUAACUCUUCAAGGGCCAGGUAUGGCAUGAUAUAAACCAACUUACCUUAUUGUACUUGAGGGGAAAAGAUCACUUUAGUAAUAAAACGUGUUGCCAUUAAACUAUGUCUCGAAUUGGAAAAUAAAUCAACAGUGAACAGUUCUGUAAACUCAUUCUACAUAUUAUUAUUAUUAUUAUUAUUAAAAUUCCAGCAGAUGUGAAAUAAUAUGUAUUAUAUAUAACAUGAGCUUACUGGUAAAUAUGACCCAAACUACUGUAUAUUAAAUAUACAUAUCGUGUUUCUUUUUAUAAACAAUACAUAUAUAACUGUAACCUAUAAAAACAUUAUUUGUUAUUAAUAUUUCAUAAUACGUUUACAACUAUGUAGCACAUAUAAAGUGUCUAUUGGUACCAUGUAUAUCAUACAAAUUAUAUAUAAAUAUAUAUCUAUAUAUCCCUGAUAAUAUUUCACAGUACACCUUACUGACAACAUUUCACUCAUAAAUUGUGUUUUUUUGUAGUUAUGUGAUAGCAUUAUUGCCAUAUAAUUGGAGAGUAGACACGUUCAAUUGCCCCUUAUUUAAUAACCAGUUAUUAUUUAGAUUUUUUAAAUAAAAUACCUCAUCUACGUUAUGUACAUUAUACCUAUUUAUUGUACAUAAACAGAUCAUGUACUACAAUUAACAAUUAUAUUAUGUAGAGAAUACAAUUUAAUCAUUGUACAGAACUAGCUCACAAAUACCAAACCACAAUAUUUAAACAGUGUAUAUUGCGUAGAAUUAGCCUAUAUGGCAUUUUGCACAUAUGAUUUGCCUUAUUGCUUCCUCUGACUAUAUUGUAUAAUGGAUGUACACUGAGGGCCUGCUCAGGAAAUUGGAGAGAAAAUAAACCGACUUUUGGAAAAAUCUGAUGUGAUUUUGAAGUUUUGUAGGUGCUGGAGUAAUUGUGUCGAACUCUACCCCACAUACUGUUAAACAAAUUCCAUCAGUAGAAAUCUAAAAACUGUAAACAAAUAGUAAGAUCUACAUUGACAAAUAACUGUGACUUAGGUAAAUUGAUGUAUACAUGUUUCUUAUUUUUACUGAGGGAUGCAUUGAUUGAAUAAUGAGAAAUAAUAUUUAGGCAGGUGUAUAUUUUUGAAAUUAUUUUUUCUCCUAUGUUUACAAAUUGAUUCUCCACUCAGCUGGACUCGCUUUUUAGUGAAUGAAUCCCACUGUUUGGAUAUGCAUUAGCACAGCAGGAGUGCUGCCCUGUGUGUCUGAUAGUUUAUACUGGAUAACCAGUGACCCAGAUGCCAUUUAAAUUCGUUUUUAGUGUUCUAAAUCAAAACUUUUUGGACCAGCAGGGCAAUGGGAUUUAACAAUUGUCUGUCAUAGUUUGGCAAUCUCUGGCACUGAAUCUUAGGGGAGGGGGCAAUAUGGGCACUGAACAGUGAAUUGAGCUAAAUAAAGAAUGGGCUUGGAAAAUAAAUACCAAUAUCUCAGAACUGGAAAAUGUCUUCACACACUGUACAAGUUGUUGCUUUCAUAUUGUUACAUCAAGCUGUUAAAGGAAUAAACCACAUAGGUUUUGCUGAAUAAUAGCAAGGAUUGAAUGUUUCCUACUCGCUCAUCCUUGAGAUAAAUUUCACCCCCACUCGGUCCCUUACUACACUGUCCACCAGAACUGACUAAUGGACAAUUAGACAUUUAAAGGGCAACGCUCGCCAAUUCCCAGAACUACUGAAGAUUGGGAGUGGUGAUUCGAUUUUUUGAUAUUUUACACUUUAGACGAAAAAUUAACAUUUCAAGGUCUAAAAGAAAAAAAAAAGACAGUUAGAUUAAGUAGUGAAGUUUACAAAGCAUUCCGCUCCUAAAACUUACUUAAUGCAAGUACCCAUAACUGAGAACCAUGGAGUAUAAUAUCUGUACUGAAGCAAUGAAACUGUCUGACCCACCACCUAGUAAGGCUGAGAUCGUGUUUACAGAAAUGGAUCCCUUGUACAAAGACUUUAGUGGAGCACCCUUCAUGUUUCGUUAAUCCUCCUGAACGUAUUGACAUGUACUGUGCACCUACAUUAUGUGUGUCCAUAUACUGUAUAUCCACAUACUGUGUGUCCAAAUCCAUUGUAUCCAUGUGCUAUAUAUGUAGAUUUACAUUCAUGGUAAUGACUAAAGUGAGAAUACAAAGUGAAUUUCAAAUUUAAAAAAUGUAAUAUAAAUAUGUCAAACUGAAAACAUAGCUCACUUGGAGAAUUUUUCCAGUUCAGAUAGUGUCACCUUAAAUUUAAAAUUCACUUUGAAAUCUCACUAUACUGAAUAGCACUGAUUGUGUGUCCCAUUCACAUAUAGUAUAUUCACAAACUCUGUGUCCAUUAUACUGUAUAUCUACAUAUUGUGUCCAUAUAAUCGCUAUCCAUAUACUUUAUAUCCAAAUGCUGUUAUGGUUAUUUACUAAAGUAAGAAUUCAAAUUGUAGGCCCCAUGUAGCCAAGCAUGAAGCAUAGCUGACUUAGUGAUUCUUUCCAAUUCAAAUAUUUAGGCUUUAAAUUUAAAAUUCACAUUGAAUUAACUUUCAGUGCUCACUUUAGUAAAUAACUCUAUCUUUGUACAUAUACAGUAGAUCCACAUAUUAUGUCCAUAUAUUGUAUAUCCACAUAAUGUAUCCAUAUGCUGUGUAUCCAUAUAGUUUGUUUAUAUAUCGUAUAUACAGAUACUGUGUGUCCAUAACAUGUAUAUCCACAUACUGUAUCCAUAUAAUAUGUAUCCAUAUACUGUAUAUAUAAAUACUGUGUGUUCAUAUACUGUAUAUACAAACACUAUGUAUCCAUAUACUGUAUAUAUAAAGACUAUGAAUCCAUAUACUGUAUAUAUAAACACUGUGUAUCCAUAUACUGUAUAUAUAAAUACUGUGUGUCCAUAUAAUGUAUAUAUAAAUACUAUGUAUCCAUAUACUGUAUAUAUAAAUAUUGUGUGUUCAUAUACUGUAUAUACAAACACUAUGUAUCCAUAUAAUGUAUAUAUAAAUACUAUGUGUCCAUAUACUGUAUAUAUAAACACUAUGUAUCCAUAUACUGGAUAUAUAAAUACCGUGUGCCCAUAUACUGUAUCUAAAUACUAUGUGUCCAUAUACUGUAUAUAUAAACAUUAUGUAUCCAUAUAAUGUAUAUAUAAAUACUGUGUGUCCAUAUACUGUAUAUACAAACACUAUGUAUCCAUAUAAUGUAUAUAUAAAUACUGUGUGUCCAUAUACUGUAUAUAUAAAUACUGUGUGCCCAUAUACUGUAUCUAAAUACUAUGUAUCCAUAUACUGUAUAUAUAAACACUAUGUAUCCAUAUACUGUAUAUAUAAACACUAUGUAUCCAUAUAAUGUAUAUAUAAAUACUAUGUGUCAAUAUACUGUAUAUAUAAACACUAUGUAUCCAUAUAAUGUAUAUAUAAAUACUAUGUGUCAAUAUACUGUAUCUAAAUACUAUGUGUCCAUAUACUGUAUAUAUAAACUAUGUAUCCAUAUAAUGUAUAUAUAAAUACUGUGUGUCCAUAUACUGUAUAUAUAAAUACUUUGUGUCCAUAUACUGUAUAUAUAAACACUAUGUAUCCAUAUAAUGUAUAUAUAAAUACUGUGUGCCCAUAUACUGUAUCUAAAUACUGUGUGUCCAUAUACUGUAUAUAUAAACACUAUGUAUCCAUAUACUGUAUAUACAAACACUAUGUAUCCAUAUACUGUAUAUACAAACACUGUGUAUCCAUAUACUGUAUAAAUAAAUACCGUGUGCCCAUAUACUGUAUAUACAAACACUAUGUAUCCAUAUACUGUAUAUAUAAAUACCGUGUGUCUAUAUACUGUAUAUAUAAAUACUGUGUGUCCAUAUACUGUAUAUACAAACACUAUGUAUCCAUAUACUGUAUAUAUAAAGACUAUGAAUCCAUAUACUGUAUAUAUAAACACUAUGAAUCCAUAUAAUGUAUAUAUAAAUACUGUGUGCCCAUAUUUUUCCCGAUUUCUCUCCCCCAGUUUUAUCAGUUUGUAUUGAUCCUUCUAUUGUAUUUUCUCUCUCCCUCCGCGCCUCCCUUUCUUCCUUUUUUCUCAAUCUUUGUCCUCCCUUUCUUUCUCGUUUCUCAUUUUCCUUACUCACGUUUCUUCUCUUUCCUCUCCUGCCCCAUCUCUCUGUCUCUCUUGUCUUUCUGUGUCUGUGAAUAUUCCAUUGAAUUAGAUCUAUUAUUUUUUCUAACUCAGUGUCUUUUUUUAACAUCAGAGCAGCCAUCCCCGCUGAGCGGAGCUACAAACAAUGUCCCCUCCAGGAAACACAUGCCUUCCCAGCAUCUCCCAUCUCCAAACAUGUCUCAGACAGAGUGUGCAUGCAGGGCUCAGAGCUUGUGAAUGCAGGAUCCCAGCUAGUAAGAGAUUAUUGCAGUGAUGAUAGCCCGACACCAUUCCUUCCCGUCCGAACAGUGACUGAGGAAAUAGGAAGAACACAGAGCCUGGCUAUGCCAUGAUGGGGGGCUGUGCAGGAGACAAACAGGGCAAUGUAUUGGGACCCCAACAUCAUCGCAUAACACACACUUCUCCUAACACGCAUAUCAUCCCAGGAAAUAUUAUCAUAGAUUCAUGAUAACUAGAGGGACACAGGACAACAGUCACAGCUAAUAUCCUUAUAUAGAAUGUCCUUUCACUAACUAAUAGUUAAAUCCGUAGAGUGUACUGCCUGCAUUGUAGUCAUAUUAACAUAGAAAUUACAAUAUAAUAUUAAAUAUAUUGUACACACUUACUACAGUAUAUAUAUAUAUAUAUAUAUAGUGUGUCCAUAUACUGUGAAUCGAGAGAGAUAGAGAUAUAUAGAUAGAUAAAUAGAUGUAGAUAUACAUCUCUCUCUCUCCCUCUCUCUCCCUCCCUCUCUCUCUCUCUCUCUCCCUCUCUCUCUCUCUCUCUCCCUCUCCUGUUUAUAUACCAAAACCGGAUUUGGAUAAAAGGAAAAAUAAGCGGUUCUUAUCUAAUCACUAUUUUUGUCUAGAUUUUGAAAGCUGGUUCACUUUUUAAUGAAUAAACAAUUCUUUGUCUGACACAUACUAUUCUUCCUAAAAUGUUUGCAUAUUUUUUCUAAUUCCAGGCAAUUUAAUUUCCAAUAUUCUCAUUCCAGUAUAUCCCUCUCCCCAUGUAUCUCCAUAUGACACUAUGUAUAUGUUGUGCCACUUGUACAGGAGUCUAAUAUUGGUAAUAACAUAAAGUCUGUGCUUAUAUAUUUAGAUCUAUAAUACACAGUGUGAUGAUAAUAAUAAUAAUAUGUAGAUGGAAUUUGUUCAAUUUACAAGUUUGGUAUGCAGUGAUCAAGAAGAUCAAUUCCCCUUAAUAUGUUAAGCCCCCUCCCCCUCCCACCCCCUAUUUAAAUAGCUAAUAUUAUUCUCCCGGAAAGGAGUUAAUGAGGGGGUCUUAUUCAGUAAACACUGAUUUAGAAACAAUUUGACCUACAUUUUCGCAAAAGCAGAUUUCGUGGCUUGCCACAUAAAUUAAAUCAUAGUAUUUAUUAAAUGUUAAAUGUUUAUAUUUGAUGCACUUCUGGUCUUUAAUUUAGCUAAAGAGGUGUAUGUGUGUGUGUCUUUAAUUUAAAUUAUUUCAAUUUACAUUCUUAUUGUUUAAAAGCUUCGGGUUGACACAGGUAAGUAGUGACAGUACAUACCGUAUUAGAUAAGACUAAAAAAAUCCCGCACUGUUUCACAAUUCAAUAAGAUCACUCGUAUUUCCAUAUAUUUUAAGACUCACGUGAAAUCAAAUAAGUUAAAUCUAGCUAAUCACUGGCACUCACACCGAGGCUGGCACUAAAUGUGCUAACUCCAAUUAGAACCCCAAAUCCCUAUAAGUAAUCAGUACAUAUUACUCGUUCUGUAACACGGGGUAAAGACUGGGAAUGGAACAAGCAGGCUUUCAGCAGGAACUAAUCAUCUGGCAGUUCUUGGAAGGGGUUAGGGUAUGUGGCUCAGCGUCCGUGAUUCCUAAAAUCUGUACAGUAAUCCUUAACAGCGAUACUUGGGAUAAAUAGAAUGAAGGCGAAAUACAAUUGUGCACUAUCAUAGUAAUCCUCUAGGUGGCAGUGCACAGCUGAUAAUUUCCAUAUACCAGUGCUUGAGUGCGGAAUCAUAGGUAGCUAGGGAAUAGAGUGUGACGAUCAGUCUGUGUAUGAAAAGUAGUUCAUAAUUAAUAAAAACAUUUAGAAAUUGUGUUUUUUUUAUAAGCACAACCUGUGGUUGAGCUUAUAAAAACAUAUCAGCUAAUAAACAUGCCAUACAGUUUAUGAUGGCGAAUUAAGAAAUUAAGGCAUUUAUUCACUAAAUAUUACCUAUUUUUUUUUUUUUUUAAAUUAGUUCGUUUCAUAGUACUUUUACCUACAAAUUUAGCAAUAAUUGUAUGUGGUAUUAUAGACUGAGGAAUAUAUAAACAGACAUACUGAUUAAAAGGAGUGUAGAACUCUGUUCGCUGUUGGAAUGAAACAUUUGUAGGACUUUCACACAAAAUGGUAUGGAAGAUGGCCAGUGAGCUUACAAUCUAAAGUGAUAAUGGGCAUCAAGACAAACCUUAGCAAGGUAGAGAAUAUAACUGAUAGAACAAUUUAACUGCAUCCCAGAAUGUUUUGCUUCUAUUUUUUUAUUUUUUUAUUUCUAUUGUGCCCAAUUGUACAGUGCUGCAUAUGUUGGCGCAUUAUAAAUGCAGGUAAUACAUAAAUAAACAUAUUAUUAUUUAUUAUUUUAUAUAGCGCCAUCAGAUUCCAUUGCGCUGUACAACACCUUACAAUGUGUGCAUGAACAAACUAAGUAAAUCAGAGAAGACAAACAAGCUAGCUUAAAGUCUACAGGAAGCAGCAAUAACCGAAUGGAAUUGGAGAAGAG